rnacentral:rRNA from 1 species
UACGUAGGGUGCGAGCGUUAAUCGGAAUUACUGGGCGUAAAGCGUGCGCAGGCGGUUCGUUAUGUCCGUUGUGAAAGCCCCGGGCUCAACCUGGGAAUGGCAAUGGAAACUGGCGGGCUAGAGUGUGGCAGAGGGGGGUGGAAUUCCGCGUGUAGCAGUGAAAUGCGUAGAGAUGCGGAGGAACACCGAUGGCGAAGGCAGCCCCCUGGGCUAGCACUGACGCUCAUGCACGAAAGCGUGGGGAGCAAACAGG